rnacentral:lncRNA from 1 species
AACAUUACAAUUUAUAUCAUUAAAAAACUUAAAGAUUACAAGUUGAAUGAAAAAUCUUACAUCCUUACAAAAGAAUUUGAACUACUCAAAGUACAAUGUUAAAUUCUUGAGACACAAUGAACUUGAAAAUCCUACUUUGACACAUCACAAAUAACGAAUCCGACUUAACAAUUAAUGAAGAUAAAUCAAUUUUACUAGUAAGCUAUAAGCCAAAACACAAGGCAACUUCUUCACCAAAAUCAAUAUAAUUCAAAUAAUUUCCCUUAUGAACGCCCGAAGCUAUCAUAAAAACAACAAAAAAUAAAAACAAGUAGACAAGAAAAAAAAUUCCCCAAUAACAAGUCACCCUACAAAACUUUUCCUUGUAAAACCUGCACAAAAAUCACCGUUAUAGUGCUAUUGAAACCUCUACCCACCACUAUUAGAGUUGAAAAAAAACAUCUCUGAUAUGAGUGUAUUAUUCUAAUUUGAACACCAAAGUGGUUUUUCGAGAGAUUAAUCGAAAAAAAUGCCUUAAAGAGUUGAAGAAGAAAUUAAAAAAAGAAGCAUAAAAAGAGGAAUGAAAAUAAAAGAAAAAUGUUUUACCAAGAGUUGAUUAACAGUAAUCGGUAUAUUUGAGCAUGCAAUAAAAUUUACCCCUAUAUUCAUAUGACAUAAAAUAUAAUUUUAUUCAUUAAUUACACUACUAAUUUGUCUAAAUUUUAGUUUAAAAAAUAAAUUUCUAUCUAUUUGCAUAAAUCUUAGUUUUUAUAAAAAUAAAUCUAUGUUUAUUUUUUUUCAUUGACCUAAUGUUUAAUUAAGGGCAAUAAUGUUUUUGAGCUAGUUAGAAAUGGCCAGUAAUUGAACUUAACCGCGUAGGACAACAAUUUGACUAUUUCGGGGUGGGGUUGAUGGCUUACAUUAAAGCAAGUGUGUGCUACUGAUUAAUAAUAAUAAUUGGGGUAAAUUUGAAAUUAAUCCUUACCCAAGUAUUAGAAGUUCGGUGGUUUUCUUUUAACCGGAUCAUUACUGGUCAAAAUGUCACGCAUACCUACACGUGGCAGAAUCUAAUUUAUUCGCUUGUCAUUCAGUUUCUGUUACGUACAGUUUCUGUAACGUAGCUAGUUCCAGAUUUAAAUUAACAACAUUGUUUUGGUAAACAAAGUACAUUUUGACCAAAAAGGAAAAAAGAAAAAAGAAAAAGAAGAGAUUUGAAAAAAAAAAGAAAAAAAGAAACCACAAUUUCUUUAACUAAAGAACGAAUGAGCGUUUAAAAUAUUAAAAAAAAAAAAAAAACUUAUGUUAGUUAGCAUGUUUGCGACCAAUUAUGACGUGUCAAUUGAUAGGUCUAAAGAAUUCGCUUGAUGGGACACUCAAAUUUGAUGCUAAGAGGAUUCAUACAUUUAAAAUGACUAGUUUUAAAGGCACAUCAUUUUAACAUGCUGAGAUAGUUUCAAAUUCUGUCAGCUAUUUAUAAGUUUAGUCUUAAUAUCGGCCUUAUUUAUUUAUUUAUUUUCAGAAAAAAGAUAUAUCUUGAUGCUCCUAAAAAGGUUGUUUCAAAUUUUAUAGUCUAGAGUGCUAGGCACGAAACGGUUAUCUAUUGUACGCGACUAUACCGUUUAAUACAUUUUUUAAGUUUUCAACAUUAAACUUUAAAAUUAAAAAGAAAUACAUGCCAUUGAAAAUUAAUUCAAUUUGAACGAAGUCAAAAGUAAAACUUAUACUGCAAAGUAGCAAUAUCUAAAUAUAUCAACACACCACAAGAUUAAUAUUUAGAAAGAAAAAUAAAUUAAAUCACGGAAAUGGAUAGCAUUAUUAGGAAAACGCUAUUAUUAGCUUCCUCUUCCUUAGCAGUUUGCACGACUAUUGGAAGCGUCUAAAGAUAAAGAAUCACGUGAAGGCUCUUACCAAUAAAUUUCAUUUUGACAUAUGGACAUUCAUAUAUACAUAUAUAUAUAUAUAUAUAUAUAUAUGGCAAGGAUACGAUGCGUAUAUGAAAGGAAUUAGAUCAUUACGUGAUAUGUAGAUAGCAAGGAUAAAAAUCAUUUGUGCACUUAUGUCAUUGAUCAAGAUGGUCGUAAAAUACACAAUUAUCAAGAAUCAAAACCAUCAAAUAUACAAUUAUCAAAACCAUUAUUCGAUGCAAAUAUAAGCAACAAAUCUUUUAAGAUCCUGUUUGGCACGAGGUGCUGUGGUUUUUAAGUUACAACUACCAUCAGAAAAAACUGUAAUUAUUAAAUAAAAAUUGAUAAUGUAUGGUAAAUAUAACUUUUAAAUAAUAAUUUUUAUAAAAUAAUAAAAUAUUAUAAGUUUUUUAUCAUAUAAAUGUGGGACAAAAUUAACUUACCUUUAAAUUGCAGUAGUAAGUGUUUAUUAAAGACAUUAGAGCUGUAUCUAAAACAAUAGCUACAACUAUCCUACUAGACUACAAAUGGUCCUUAGAUAUAAUUUUAUAGUUGAAUUCCAUCAUUUCGAUGUGUUAGCAUAUUAUCACAGGAUGAGUUUAUUGUGUAGCAACUCGUGUGGCACUUAGACAACUUCUAGCACAAAAGUUGAUAAGUAAGCCUAGUGAACUUCUCAAGCUAGCUAAGUAAAGAUGCUUGUGAGAAAGCUAAAGAGAAGCGAGUAAUGUAGCCAAAGUAAAUUUUAUUACUCGCAAGAGAGAAUACUAGAGAGUUUACAAGUGUUUGAGUUGCUUGUGCUUGGUGUGUGUUGUGUGUGGUGUGGUGUUGAGUAAAAUGGCAAGUGCCAUGGCCUAUUUAUAGAGAGGCUUGCCUAGUUCUAGAGUCUUCCAUGCAAGUUGCCUAAAUAUCACCUAGGUUCUAGAAUACAUAUCUGUAGAUUUAUCAAGAUAGUUACGAGUUGUAGAAAAUUCUAGAAUCGAGCCAAGAUUAUUCACUUUGGGUUGUCCGAUUGCUGAAUGCACCACAACUCGCUAAUUGUAUGAGGUGACCCAUUGUUGAGCACUCCUUACUUCUAAGCACACUCUGCCUUUAGGUGAACUUUUAUUGAGCAUACCCAUGUGCGCCAAUUUAGCCUCCGUUAGUGGCAAAUUUGAGUGGUCUGUGAUAAUAUGGUCUCUUUUAGGUUCACAUGCAUGCACACGUUAGUCCACUGAAUGUAUUGACAUAAAUAUUAGAGGCUAAACAUAAUUCAAUUGAAAAAAGAAAAAAUUUAUAACACAUCUAACUUUAAAAAAAAAAAAGUUCUUCUUCGUAAACAUACCUCCCUUUAGAAAUUGUGUUUACACAAUUUGAGGUGUGUUUAUGAAAAAUUUAAACACAAUUUUUUAUAAACACACCUCACUUUAAAAAAAA